rnacentral:rRNA from 1 species
AUUGAACGCUGGCGGAAUGCUUUACACAUGCAAGUCGAACGGCAGCACGGGGGCAGCCCUGGUGGCGAGUGGCGAACGGGUGAGUAAUACAUCGGAACGUGCCCGGUCGUGGGGGAUAACGUAGCGAAAGUUACGCUAAUACCGCAUACGAUCUGAGGAUGAAAGCGGGGGACCUUCGGGCCUCGCGCGAUCGGAGCGGCCGAUGUCAGAUUAGGUAGUUGGUGGGGUAAAGGCCUACCAAGCCGACGAUCUGUAGCUGGUCUGAGAGGACGACCAGCCACACUGGGACUGAGACACGGCCCAGACUCCUACGGGAGGCAGCAGUGGGGAAUUUUGGACAAUGGGCGCAAGCCUGAUCCAGCCAUUCCGCGUGCAGGACAAAGGCCUUCGGGUCGUAAACUGCUUUUGUACGGAACGAAAAGGCUCUGGCUAAUACCUGGGGCUCAUGACGGUACCGUAAGAAUAAGCACCGGCUAACUACGUG